CAUAAGUGGUAGAACUUCAAAGGGAUUUGUUAAGAAAUGUCUCAGAGCUCUUGCCCACACCAUCCCCACUUUCCCUUCCAUCCUUCCUGGCACACUUCACCUCUAAACAGAAUGUGACACAGGCUUAGUCCUGUCUUAGUGUAUCUAUAACUGGAAAAACUUAAGCUAAUUUUGAAGGAAAAUCAGUAGUCUUGACUAUAUUUUGUUAGGCUUUGAAUACUAAUUUACUGACAAGAUAGUGGAAAUACUUCCUUAAAGAGAGAUGCAGAGUACAGUAAAACAUUUCUAUGCACAUUGAAAAGAUGUGGUUAUGAGGUCAGCAAGGUAAAACACCAUCUGCAAUGUGUCUGGUCUAUGCUUAAUUUACACAAUGAACUUCACCUCAGACAUGAAAUAAAUGUCUUCCAUGCAGCCACUGAAAAGGAAUGGAGAGCAGAUUCAUCUGCUUUUUCCAAGGCUGGGAAUAGCAAGGAUACAUUAGCCACUGAGCAGCCUGCUCCAGUGCCUAUCCAGCAUCAGGAGAGCCUACUGUGCCUUUUAUGGGAGGAUCUUACAACUCCAAAACAUUAAUUCUGCGUGAACCAGAAAAUUCAUCUGAUGCCCUUUACCUCAGGGUCACUUGUUAGAACAUGUUCUUUCUGUCCUUAGAAAGAAAAGCUCAUGUUUUUCAGCACGGAUAUUGCAAACGUAAUUAUGCUGAUACUUGUAGUUGGAGAGUUUCAUUUCCUUGAAGUCCUUCUCUUUCCCCUGUCCUUGGAAAAAUGGAAAUGCAAUUAGGAACUUGAAUUGCUGUCCAUUGGCUAUUUAUGGAAAGUUGGCACAUUCUCACAUGAUCUUUAUUUUUGCCCUUGAAAAGAACUAAUGCACUCUUUCACUUUGCAUGUAGUCUAGAAUGAGCCUCUACCUCUUGCUUGCACUCUUUCAGAGAAGUCACUUUUUUUCCUUAGAGAGGCUUAAAACUUAAAACCAAACCAGACCAACUUAAAGGGAAGGUCAAUAUUUAAUGAGUCAUAAAUAUAUGCACAAUAUUAGUUUCAAGUAACUUCAGAUUCUAGGAUAAGAAGGGAUUCUCGAAUGAAAUUUUAAUUUAAUUUUUUUUUUGUAGGAACAAAACCAUUUUGGGCCAAAAGUAAUUUUUACAUGAUGCAUACGCUUGUCAGAAAGGCAGGGAUGGCAGGCAGCAACUGUGGAAUGGCUGUGUAUUGCCAAGAGACUCUGAGCAAGAAGAUGUUGCAAAGAUAUUCAGACGCUCUGGGAGAUUCUUAUUGAAGAUUGGCACAGAAAUUUUGCAGGAAAGGAAGAUUACUUUUAUUAGGAAAAACUGUGCCUGUCAGAAAAGGUAAGCACUGAACAGAUUCCAUACAUAGCUUUUAUCAGAGGUUGCAAAAUUAGACUAGCUAGCUUCUGUCAAGAAUAAAUAUACCUCAGUUCCUCUGCUAUGGGGCAGAAGGUCUGUUCAGGUUUUUCUGAGUUAUAUUUGAAGCUGUUGUUGUUUUCCCCUGUCCUCUUCUCUGCUGGUUCUAAUUCUGGCUGUUAGCAUGGGCUUUAGAAGGCUCACUGCAGACUGGGAUUUGGCAGAUUGAGGUAUCUGAAAGAGCCUCCCCAAGGUCAGACACACAAAUGAUUGUCAGGCUGAAAUACAAAGAUCCAGGUGAUCCUAAAACAUGCAGCAACAUUUGCAGGGUUUCUUACCCCGUUCUUGAACUCAAAAAUCCAUAGCAACUACAGUUUAGUAAUAUCAGCCUCUUUCUCAUAGUUUUCCUGCCAAGUCUGCCCACCAAGGACAGGGCACGUGUUGGAGCUGCUGUUAACCAGUAUCUGGUUUGGGCUUCACAAAAUGCCACUGGAGAGCAGUGAUUUUCAGUCUCUGUGGAACUACACUUGACUGGAACAAAUGGGCUAAAAUUACUGACCACCUCUUCAGCACUUAGAGCAGCACCUGAGCAGUGUCAGAGGAGCAGCCCCUCAGUCAAAGCCCAUUGCUACGAUGUGCUCCAUAAGGCCUUGCUUGUAUAUUUAUUUUUUGUAAUGCUUGCCUUAGCUGCUGCAUUUUCAGACCCUCGUGUUUAUCCAACCACUUGUCUGAGUGGAAAAUUUGGGAAGUAAACAAGUUCCCUUCUAGGCACCUGCCAUCCUCGUGUGCUCUGUCCCUCAGCCUAAAUAAAGCUGUGACUGCUUCUGUGGAAAUUGCUGUCCUGCUGUGUGCACAGGGCACCCACAGGUAUUGAACACUGACCUCUUCACACUGCAGAGGUAUUUUCUUACCUGUUGUAUUUAUCAUGUAACUGGAUUAAUGAGAUUAAGUUCAAUCUUCUUCUCUAUGGUCUUUUGUGUCAAAUCUUUCUAUAAAAGAAUAAUAAAAUCUUGUAAAGUAGCCUUUAGCAGGAAGUAGAAGCACCCAAAAAAAUCAAAUGAAGAUUUGGCUUAGGGCAUCACAGUAAAUACAGGGACUCAUAUGGCUACUGAGAUACACAAGAUUGAAACAGCAGAGAACUGCUUUAAAACUAAAGCAUUCCAAAGCAGCCACAGACAAAUCAGUAGCAGCCCUCCCUCUGCAUUCUUUAUUCUUGUAAUUGCAGUAUCAGAGAGAAGGCAUUUUCUAAAAGGUUGGUCAGGAAUGUGUUUGUUAACUGCAGUAAAACUGUAGCCAGAAAUGUAUUUCCUUCUUGAGCAGAAAAAACACACACAGGGAACGACAAAGUGAGGGCCCUCUGAUAUCCCAGUACAUUCAGUCUGCUGGGAAAAGCAAAACCAAGUCAGUAAUGACAAAAGAUUUAAGUCUAAAAGCUGUAUCUUGCUGAAGAUUAUUAACACAAUGCACUACUACCUGAACACAAAACUGAACUGCACCUUCACGUGCUGACUUGCACGUGAGCUGUCUCUUGCUCAUACUGCUUGGCUUCCAGGAAAGCACUUGACUUUCACAAGAACAUGUGAAUUUAAAAAACCCCACAUGAACAGAUAUUAAGGUUUCCUCCUUUAAAGCCACACUCAAAUGUUGCUGACACAGUAUCACAACACCAGGCUUUGAUGCAGCACUUUUGCAACAACGUGUAUAGAUCCCUGCUUAACUCAUACUUGUUUUUCACAGAGCUUAAGUCUGAUGUUAUUUAAGGAAAAAAUACAAAAAACUUACAGUGUGUCUUUCCUAGUAUGACGGCAUAUCUUGGAGGGAGAAUCUAUAUACUUUUUAUUUUCCUGUACUUUCUUAAUGCUUCCGAGUUUUCAAAACCUAUUAUUUGUCAGUUACAGUCUUAAAUAAUUUUCCCUAUUUGCUCUGUUGAAACUUUGCCUUUAGGGAAAAAUCCACUGGGUCCAAGGUUCUGAAAAGGCUGUAUCAGUUUCAGCUCUGCAGGUAAGAGGGACACUAAUAAAAAUUGCUAACAUUUGGGGAGCUGUGGUUUUUUUUGCUUCAGCUACAUAUACCAUGAGGUUAUCUAAAAAGCUAUUAUACAAAGGAAGAACUCAGGUUUCACUGAGUGUUGGAUUGUUCUUGUUCCAGCAUUUUUGAUCUGAAUAGUUUUAGCAAAAUAUUGUUUCUUCAGAGCUUUUAGUGACCUGUGCCAUUUAAAUCUGCUUGCCUUCAUACUGCAGCACCACAGAGAUUGUAUUCACUCUAAGGCCCUUAAAUUCACCACUUCAAAUCAAUUCUCCACUCUGCUAUGUAUAGUUAAGUGAUAUAUUGGAAUUGCAGCUGGUGCAUCAAAGGCCUAUUAACCUGGCUGUUGCAUAAACUGAUGCAUCUCCUACAUGAUGCAGUUGUCUUGAUAUUUGGAAAGGUUUCAUAGUGCUCUGAUACACUGAGUGCCCUCCACCUAAGAAUCUCCAUACUGUGUGAAAUCCACAAAAGAUUAAUAUCUAUAUUCUCUAACCAGGCAUAUUAAACCACUUCUCACCUGUCUCAACAGCUGGAGAGGACCUUCUGGGGAGACUUGUUACUUACCUGUAUACAGCAGCAAGAACCACCCUGAUCUCCCCUGCCAUACCUUGAGCUAAGCUCUGUCACCAACUGAAGGCAUUUGCUGCUGCUGCUGCUGCAAGCCAGCUUCAGUGGGGAAGAUUUUCAGCAGCUGAGCUGUCACUUUGUUAACUGAUCACAAGUCAGACAAUGAACUCAAUUUUGCUAUUAGCCUUUUAAAUACACUUGCAGGGUGGGAGGGGAAGCCCCCAAACCAGGUUAAGCAUUUUCUAAGGUCAUAGAGAAUCAGUAAUAAACUUAGAGCAGAAUCAGCUUUUCAAACCUUUAAUCACUCCCCCUUGUUCUGCAUUCCUUUGGAAAGAGAAGCUGCUAAAA